AGAGUUUGAUCCUGGCUCAGGAUGAACGCUGGCGGCGUGUUUAAGGCAUGCAAGUCGAAUGCCCUCUUCGGAGGACAUGGCGAACGGGUGAGUAACACAUUGGUAACCUACCCCUGUCACGGAGAUAACCCGGAGAAAUCCGGAAUAAUAUCCGAUGGACUCCAAUCUCAUAAGAGUAUUGGAGUAAAGUUCCGACGGACAGGGAGGGGCCUAUGUCUGAUUAGUUUGUUGGUAGGGUAAUGGCCUACCAAGACUAUGAUCAGUAGCGGGGAUGGAAGUCUGACCCGCCUCACUGGGACUGAGACACUGCCCAGACUCCUACGGGAGGCUGCAGUCGAGAAUCUUCCUCAAUGCCCGAAAGGGUGAAGGAGCGACGCCGCGUGCAGGAAGACGCCCCUUGGGGUGUAAACUGCUUUUAUAUCUGAAGAAACUUCGGUUGACGGUAAGAUAUGAAUAAGGACCUCCUAAUUUCGUGCCAGCAGGAGCGGUAAUACGAAAGGUCCAAGCGUUAUCCGGUUUUAUUGGGCGUAAAGCGUCCGCAGACGGUUGAAAAAGUUUUUGGUUAAAUUCCGGGGCCCAACCCCGGAGCUGCCAAAAAAACUCUUCAACUAGAGGGUGGGAGAGGUCAGCGGAAUGGCUGGUGUAGGAGUCAAAUCCGUUAAUAUCAGCUAGAACACCAAAGGCGAAGGCAGCUGACUGGAACACUCCUGACGUUCAGGGACGAAAGCGUGGGUAGCGAAAGGGAUUAGAUACCCCUGUAGUCCACGCCGUAAACGAUGGAUACUUGACAUUGGUAGUCUCGACCCUAUCAGUGUCGCUCUAACUAAGUUAACACCUUAAGUAUCCCGCCUGGGGAGUACGAGCGCAAGCUUAAAACUCAAAGGAAUAGACGGGGACCCGCACAAGCGGUGGAGCAUGUGGUUUAAUUCGAUGAUAAGCGAGGAACCUCACCAGGGCUUGACAUCCUGCCUAUAUUCAACCUUAACCGGAUGAAUUUAGUGGCAGUGACAGGUGCUGCAUGGUUGUCGUCAGCAUGUGCCGUGAGGUGCACCGUUAAUUCGGGUAACAUGCGCAACCCUCAUCCUAAGUUGUUUUUUCUUAGGAAACUGCUCCGGAUAACGGAGAGGAAGGUGGGGAUGACGUCAAAUCAGCAUGGUCCUUACGCUCUGGGCUACACACGUGCUACAAUGGCCAUUACAAUGGGUCGCUAAGCCGCAAGGCGGAGCCAAUCCCAUCAAAAGUGGCCUCAGUUCGGAUUGAGGUCUGCAACUCGACCUCAUGAAGUUGGAAUCGCUAGUAAACGCGGAUCAGCCUCGCCGCGUUGAAUACGUUCCCGGGCCUUGUACACACCGCCCGUCACACCAUGGGAGUGGGUUGCACCAGAAGUAGCUAGACUAACCUUCGGGAGGUCGGUUACCACGGUGUGAUUCAUGACUGGGGUGAAGUCGUAACAAGGUAACC
rnacentral:rRNA from 1 species